UGACAUAAAUUGAGACCUGUGCCCUUUGAUGAUCUAGUCUUCUUUGCUCUACCAGUACUCGCAUCUCAUCAGGAGUAUUACCGCCUUGGAAAACACCUGAAUGAGAAACUGAAUGCCCAAGACCACAGAGCUCAGAGAUGAUAGAAACAGGAGCUGCAAGUCAAAGUUUCCUGAUUCUAAGACCAGAGCCCCUUCCACCACACUCCAGCUCAGCCUCACUACAAAAUUCCAGUUUCAUCCUGUUCCACACAGGACCCACAUGUCCUGCAGCCUGGGUCAACCCAGGUUUGAGAAUACUCCCCAAGAACAACUGAGGCAUGCUCUGAGAUGGCAAAAUGCCACUCAUGGAACCCAGGUAAAGCCUCCAAGCAGUUGUUAGUGAGGGACCAGCAUGCACACUUCAGAAUCUGCCAACUGAAGAAGUGAUUUUCAACAGAGAAACCCUAGCAAAACAGCAGUGUUACAAGUCACUCAGCCAUGACGGAAGCACUUUUUAAAGACUGUGCUCCAGUUAGCAAGUGUCUUUAGCAGACCCUAUGUACUGUUGUCACAUCUGUGUUCAAGAUUCCUCGUCCCCUCUUAAAAUAAGCCUGAAAGCUAAUGUAGUUAUACAAGGAAGCCAAAUUGCACAAAACUGUCAACUCUUCCUCCGGAACAGAUUAAGACCCUGCAGCCAACGGGAAGAUAUAACUGCUCCCCAGUUUAUGAGCAAUUUCUUUCCUUCCAGAUUUUUCACUGAGACUGGAGUCUAAACUCAAAGCAAUAAUCAUCCAACAAAAAUGCCUCUGGAAUAAUUGAGAUCAGUCUUGGGACAGCUGAGUCCUACUGUUUUUCAUGUUUGUACAUUUUUUACUCUGUGAUUAAUGGAGGAGGAGAUGAGAGAACAGAGGGUGGAAAGGGAGAAAGAAAAAAAAAUAUCACUUGACUCUGCAUACUCAAAAAUGUGGAAGAAGAGAAGGUGGAAGAGAGAUCGUGCCUCAGGGGUAAACACAAGAAUCAACAGAAUGAAAGAAAAAUCCAACUGUCUUUUCAGAGCCAAGCAGAGGAAAGAGAACUGGAGCCACGGAACCUUGCGAGAUCAUGUAGUCUGACUGCUCACUUUCCAAAUGUGGUGGGAGCCUAGAGAGCUGAACCCGUGGUUCAAGGUCACCCAGCAAGUUGUCUUUAGAACCAGGAUCUAAAUCCAGGCCUCCUGAUUCACAGCCCAGGGCUCUUCCUUUGGGACUUAAGAAAUCAUCUGAGUGUGUUUUGCUGUGGCUCUACAAGGGGAACAUUAGAAAGGGGCCCCACCCACAUAAUAGCCCCCUAAGUUGGAGGACUAGACAGACAGUUGUAAUUUGGGCAUCCCCAUGCUCUGUGCCAGGCAACUGGCCUGGCUACAGGGAACCACUGGAGACUGUCAGUCAUUGAGGUGAGGCUGCAUUCGGAGUCAGCCAUCUGUCAGAAGGGGGUUUGGAUAAUUAAAUCUGCUCACUAGAGGCAGUGAGGGGGAUGAGAAAGGCCCAAUAAUGGGGCCCCUGACCUGAAGCUGCCUGUGUGACCCUCUUCCCAUCCCUUCCACAGGCUGGCUGAGCCCCUCCUCAGUCAUGGUAGUAAACAAGCUGGUCCAAUCCCUCCAGGGCUGGCUUCUGCUGUGAUUUGCAGAGCCCUCCGUCCUCAGGAUGAAGAACUGCCCUGAGUCCAGUCCUGUGGCCCUGGCUGUGCUGACUGAGCCCACAAUGGGCAGAGGGAGCAGACUCUCAAGUCUGUCUCACCCAUCACCAGGGCUAAGCACAUACACUUUGGAGCUGAGACUCACUGAAUCCAAAUCCUUGCUCUACCACUUCCCGGCUGAGGAAAACCCUGAUCUCUAGACUGCGUUCUAUCUACCUAUAAAAUGACUUAGAGAUUUGUUUUGAGCAUUAAAUGAGAUAAUGCAUAGAAAUCCCCCAGCAUGGUGCUUGCUCAGGGUAAGCACUCAAUCAAUGGCCACUGUUUUUAUUACUGAGAGGUCCCCUCCACCCAUCAGUCUUUUCCUCUCGAUCUCCCAUCAUUGUUCUGUGUGCUGCUGGAGUGACCCUCAGAGUUUUGUGCUUGACCAUCCCUAACCCCCAUUACACCACAUGCAUGCUGGGAGUCCUCAAAGAAUCUUCUCUCUACAGUUACCAUAAGAGCAGGCUGCCCGUUGGGCUUCCUCUUCCCCAGGCCAGCCUUCCACAGGGUCUGCUUCCACCCAUUCCUCCGACCCACCCAGUGGUCCUGCUUUCAUCCUGGCUGCUGUGAUUAACUGGCCUCACAGACCAUAGCUCCUAAGAUGGGCUCUGACCAAGUACUAGGGUGAGACAGUCCCACCCCACAGUGAAGACACAGGCUCAGACCAUUUCCAUGUCAUUAACCAUGGCAGAGUCCAGUCAGAAGAGAACAGUCCUUCUCCCCAAAAGACUUUAGUAAACUAUUUCCCAGCAAUGAAACCCAUUUUAAAUUCAGACAGAGAGAAGGACCUUGGUACUCAAAACUGAGAGAGCACAUUUAAUCGGGGCAGGAGAGAGCUAUUUAAUUUCACUUCUCUUUGCCUAAGCUUCUUUGACCCCUCUCCCCACUCGUUUGCUCUGUAUCAAUAUUUCUCAAACUGUCUGUGGUGAACGUCCCACUGUUUAUUUUCCCCAAACUAUUGGGUACCAAUACUUUUGUAAAACAGUCAAAAUAAAUUACUACCAAACUAAAAUGUCACUUGGAUGUCACAAUAAUGUUAAAUUGCUAUAAAGUUCCGUAAAUACUUUGAAUUUCUGUACUUAACUUUUGGCGAACUGGUAAACGUUUCGCAGACCCCUACUAGUCCUGGACCAAACUGAGAGUAGGGCUGCUUCUGGAAGGAACAGAACCACAGAAGAGUCCAUCUGCCAUGGACACCCCCCCCCCCAUUCUGGGUUUUUGUCCUGUAAUGCGGUCUGCUCAGCAGUGACCCUGCCCCACCCAGAGCAUGCAAUGGAAAGGUUCCUGGUAGAACUUGCCCAGUCUCUAGUAAGUGCUGUUCCCUGAGCACCAAGCAUCCCCCAGUGAGAGGAAUAUGCUGCGAUAAUACCGGCCGUGUGCAGCCCGCUGGCUCUUACCAUUCCAUUCCAGCCCUGUUGAUCUCCUCCCACCAGCAUUCUGUAGGCUCCCCCAGGCUCUGAGGUGUGGGCAUGCAGGCGUAGUUCCACUGUCUGUCAGAACCUUCCUUCUUGUUGAAGAUGCUCCUCACGGCCACCACCACCUGCCCAUGGGGACACUGGUAGCUGAAGCCCUGCCGGUGCAGAUUCACCCACCCAUCAUCACUAUAGUCUUGGUACUGCUGAUAUGGGUACCCAUAGUCUUCAUACUGCCCCCAGGUCACGGUGACCAGUGGCAGAAGCACCCACAGAAGAGUGAGGUCCAUGCUGUCUGGGUUUCUGGCAAAAAAUGUCACCCUAUGUCUGCUGGGCUGCUGGUUUUAUACAGCUGCUGCUGACAUGUGGCUUCCAGAUGUGGGCGAGCAAGCAGGCUCCAACUGCAGUGUGUCAUCGUUUAAGCAAAACUUUUCAGCGCCGAGAUAUUGGCCAUAAGUACAUUCAGUGUGUUUUAAGGUGGAAUUCUAAGAAAACGUAAGGAACAUGCAAAUGGAAGAAACUCCCUAGAGGAGGAACAACUUAGCAGAUAGAUUAUAAAAGCAAAUGGCUUCACACACCUCAGAAACAUUCACUUGAAAAAAGGAGCAAAUUUGUCCCUCAUCUCUUAGCACUUCACUUCUCUCUUCCCUACCCCCCCCACCCCACCACUAACAAACCCCUGUAUUUGUUCUCCAAACCAGCCUUCCAGGACCACACAAAUAUGCAGAAAGUGAUUUCAAAACACCAAAAUAAUAGGUUGAAGGGUCAGAGUUAUUCACAUUUCUGCAAGGCUAGAUACCUACUUUAAGUUCUCAGCCCAACAUCUUUUAACCCUGAGUUAUAAGCAUGGAAUGCCAGUUUGCAGGCUACUCUGAGAAUUUUUAAGUCACAUAUGGAAGUACUAUGGGCCCCUGGAGAGAUAAGUUGGGCAUUACUGCUACAUUUAAACAUCCUUCUGAGCUGCUGAAAUUGGACCCAUCUACACCUAGAAACCAUGCUCGGCUGACAAAUACGUCAUGAGUUUAAUUUGAAUACAGCCACUUUUUAUCCUUCAGUGGUUUUCCCCUCUGUGUUGAGUUUUCUUUUUAAUGAGGUAUAACUUACAUAUAAUAAAAUUCAUCUCUUCUAUAUUCAGCAUACAGUCGUUCAACCAGUACCAUAAUCAAGACACAGAACAGUUCCCUCAACCCUCUAGUCCCCUUAUGCCCUUUGGUAGUCAAAUCCUUCCCAAUACCCAGCCCCUGGUAACCACUGAUCUACUUUCCGUCACUGUAGUUUUGCCUUUUCCAGGAUGUCAAAUAGAUGGAGUCAUACAAUAUGCUGCCUUUUGUCUGACUCCUUUCACUAGGAAAAAUGCUUUCUGGAUCCAUCCAUAUUGUUGUGUGUUAGUGUCAAUAGUUCAUUCCUUUACACUGUUGAGUGGUAUUCUAUGUUAUGGCUGUACUACAGACUGCUUAUACAUUUACCAGUUGAAAGACAUUUGUUUUUCU